UAAUAGCAUGUAUUACCUGAGC
rnacentral:miRNA from 1 species